rnacentral:rRNA from 1 species
ACGUACACUCCUACGGGAGGCAGCAGUAGGGAAUCUUCCACAAUGGGUGCAAACCUGAUGGAGCAAUGCCGCGUGAGUGAAGAAGGUCUUCGGAUCGUAAAGCUCUGUUGUUAGAGAAGAACACGUGCUAGGUAACUACUAGCGCCUUGACGGUAUCUAACCAGAAAGUCACGGCUAACUACGUGCCAGCAGCCGCGGUAAUACGUAGGUGACAAGCGUUGUCCGGAUUUAUUGGGCGUAAAGGGAGCGCAGGCGGUCUGUUUAGUCUAAUGUGAAAGCCCACGGCUUAACCGUGGAACGGCAUUGGAAACUGACAGACUUGAAUGUAGAAGAGGAAAAUGGAAUUCCAAGUGUAUCGGUGGAAUGCGUAGAUAUUUGGAGGAACACCAGUGGCGAAGGCGAUUUUCUGGUCUAACAUUGACGCUGAGGCUCGAAAGCGUGGGGAGCGAACAGGAUUAGAUACCCCAGUAGUCCCA